rnacentral:rRNA from 1 species
GAUGAACGCUGGCGGCGUGCCUAAUACAUGCAAGUCGAGCGAACGGACGAGAAGCUUGCUUCUCUGAUGUUAGCGGCGGACGGGUGAGUAACACGUGGAUAACCUACCUAUAAGACUGGGAUAACUUCGGGAAACCGGAGCUAAUACCGGAUGAUAUUUUGAACCGCAUGGUUCAAAAGUGAAAGACGGUCUUGCUGUCACUUAUAGACGGAUCCGCGCUGCAUUAGCUAGUUGGUAAGGUAAUGGCUUACCAAGGCAACGAUGCAUAGCCGACCUGAGAGGGUGAUCGGCCACACUGGAACUGAGACACGGUCCAGACUCCUACGGGAGGCAGCAGUAGGGAAUCUUCCGCAAUGGGCGAAAGCCUGACGGAGCAACGCCGCGUGAGUGAUGAAGGUCUUCGGAUCGUAAAACUCUGUUAUUAGGGAAGAACAUAUGUGUAAGUAACUGUGCACAUCUUGACGGUACCUAAUCAGAAAGCCACGGCUAACUACGUG